rnacentral:rRNA from 1 species
GAUGAACGCUGGCGGCGCGCCUAACACAUGCAAGUCGAACGAUUAAAGCACCUUCGGGUGUGUAUAAAGUGGCGAACGGCUGAGUAACACGUGGGCAACCUGCCCCUUUCAUUGGGAUAGCCACGGGAAACCGUGGAUAAUACCGAAUACUUCGAGACUUCCGCAUGGAAGAUUCGAGAAAGCUCCGGCGGAGAGGGAUGGGCCCGCGGCCUGUUAGCUUGUUGGUGGGGUAACGGCCUACCAAGGCAAUGAUGGGUAGCUGGGUUGAGAGACCGACCAGCCAGAUUGGGACUGAGACACGGCCCAGACUCCUACGGGAGGCAGCAGUGGGGAAUCUUGCACAAUGGGCGAAAGCCUGAUGCAGCGACGCCGCGUGCGGGAUGAAGGCCUUCGGGUUGUAAACCGCUUUCAGCAGGGACGAGGCGAAAGUGACGGUACCUGCAGAAGAAGCCCCGGCUAACUACGUG